GUGGGGCAGCGGCGGCGUGAGAUCGGAGAAGGGAGAGACGAAUUUUUUUCCGCAACUUGACCUUUCUUGCAAAAAUUUCUGAAACAUGACCUUUGUUGUAAAAAAUUCUCCCGUAAAAGUACCUAUAUUGUAGAAAGACAAAAAAAAAACUGCAACAAGCAAAUUGUUUCUAAAACUCGACCGUUGUUUCAGGAAUUAAACGGGUCCAAAGUUUAUUUCUUGCAACAAAGCGAAAGUUUCUGCAGCUCAACCACCGUUUCAGGAAUUAUGCGUAGCAGCGUGCUUGUUUCCGUAACUGGAGCGUUGUUUCGGAAUUUUGUGUGGUGGACGGGAGGUGACCGAGCUGGUGGUGCACGUGUAUGCAUCGGCGGCUAAAAGGAUGGUGGAUGGUUAUUACAAAUCCACCGAUGGAUGUCUAACAGUCUCCAUUCUUUUAUAGCUAACUAUUAUACAAACUAGCUAUAAGAUAGGUUAUAAGAUGAUUUAUAGCCAACAGUUGGUUAUAUUAUUAACCAUGGUCUAAGUAACUCCCACUACGGACAGCCUAAAGAGGAGGCAGAUUUCACUGGAGAGGUUGCCUGCGAACCGGGACAGAUUUAGAAAGGAUUGCUACAAAAGGGGAAAGGCGCAGAGUAAUAUGGAAAAAACUAAAAAAAUUAUACGCACACUAAAUUGGAUCGGAGGGAGUAUUUUGUAUAGUGUCCAAAUUUCAAUCGCCACCCAAUUGCGCAACAUGUGGACAUCCAUCUGUUUUGUCGUGCUGUGGACACAGCAUGGUUUGCGAGGCGUGCCACCUUUAUUACAAUAUAUUACUCCUCGAGAGGGGUCACUCGGUUGUACUG
rnacentral:lncRNA from 1 species